AGACCCGAAACCCGGUGAUCUAGCCAUGGGCAGGUUGAAGGUUGGGUAACACUAACUGGAGGACCGAACCGACUAAUGUUGAAAAAUUAGCGGAUGACCUGUGGCUGGGGGUGAAAGGCCAAUCAAACCGGGAGAUAGCUGGUUCUCCCCGAAAGCUAUUUAGGUAGCGCCUCGUGAAUUCAUCUCCGGGGGUAGAGCACUGUUUCGGCUAGGGGGCCAUCCCGGCUUACCAACCCGAUGCAAACUGCGAAUACCGGAGAAUGUUAUCACGGGAGACACACGGCGGGUGCUAACGUCCGUCGUGAAGAGGGAAACAACCCAGACCGCCAGCUAAGGUCCCAAAGUCAUGGUUAAGUGGGAAACGAUGUGGGAAGGCCCAGACAGCCAGGAUGUUGGCUUAGAAGCAGCCAUCAUUUAAAGAAAGCGUAAUAGCUCACUGGUCGAGUCGGCCUGCGCGGAAGAUGUAACGGGGCUAAACCAUGCACCGAAGCUGCGGCAGCGAACGUAUCACCCAAGACAACUUUACGGAGUUGACGAUUGACGGAGCGAAGCGACGUCAAAGCGUUCAUUAAAGUCGAGUUGGCUUAGGGAUACGUUCGUUGGGUAGGGGAGCGUUCUGUAAGCCUGUGAAGGUGUGUCGUGAGGCAUGCUGGAGGUAUCAGAAGUGCGAAUGCUGACAUAAGUAACGAUAAAGCGGGUGAAAAGCCCGCUCGCCGGAAGACCAAGGGUUCCUGUCCAACGUUAAUCGGGGCAGGGUGAGUCGACCCCUAAGGCGAGGCCGAAAGGCGUAGUCGAUGGGAAACGGGUUAAUAUUCCCGUACUUGGUGUUACUGCGAAGGGGGGACGGAGAAGGCUAUGUUGGCCGGGCGACGGUUGUCCCGGUUUAAGCGUGUAGGUGUGUGUUCCAGGUAAAUCCGGUUCAC
rnacentral:rRNA from 4 species